rnacentral:rRNA from 1 species
UACGUAGGUGACCAGCGUUGUCCGGAUUUACUGGGCGUAAAGAGCGCGCAGGCGGUCGUUCAAGUCGAGUGUGAAAGCCCCCGGCUCAACUGGGGAGGGUCACUCGAUACUGAUCGACUUGAAGGCAGGAGAGGGAAGCGGAAUUCCGGUGUAGCGGUGAAAUGCGUAGAUAUCGAGAGGAACACCUGCGGCGAAGGCGGGUUGCUGGGCCGACACUGACGCUGGAUGCGCGAAAGCCCAGGGGAGGCGAACGGG